UAGGCCAUGAGUUGUUGUGUUAAGCUGUGGGGCUAAGUCCAGCAUGGCUAACAGUUAAAUGCACACUAGGUAGGAUUUCUUUGAUUAUUGAACUUUUUAAAGAAGUAAAAUUACAGCUUGAAACUCACGGCAGCGCUGCAUUGAAGUGUAAUAGGAGGAAUAGCGGUCCUUUCGUGUCUGUGCCGGAGCUCCUCUGAGCUCAAACCAGGAGAACCCGGAGAAGCUCCGGCUGCAUUGUAAACUCAAUGAAGGCAGUCUGAGACACUUGGGAUGCUUGGUGUGGGAGAAGAGGACUGGUCUACUGUCCGACUCUGGACUCUAUGUAGAAGACUGCUUAUUCCAGCUUUAAAAUAGAAGAAGGUCAAAAACAUCAUGUUGCAUCACCAGGGAAAUUUGUAGAGGUUGGACCAGGCCAAGAGGUGAACAUUCUCUCCAUUCCUAAAGUGUUGCUAUACAAAUCUUCUGGGAUUAGAAAUGUUUGUGGCCACGCCUCCAAAAUCUGUCAGCUUUUCAUUUUACGGCAUCUUGACAAAGUUCCUUAAACAGAACCUGUGGUUCAAACCCAGGGCAGUGCUGGAGGAGAGGUGAAGUUUAUGGUGUUAAAAAGCAAAAACACAGAGUGAGCCCAUGUUAAUCCUCUCAGUCGGAAGUGGGCGGGGCUACACGGUUGGGAUGGUGAUGGUGAGGAUUAGCGCUGCCCGUGGUCUGAGCUGUCCAUCACUCGUGGGCUGUUGUUCGUAGUCCGUGUCGUGUGUCGGGUAUGACCCGAGGCGAGUGCCAGCGGAUAGGAAAGCACUCUUUCGGUUUUGUUUGGAAAACAAAUAAAAGGUGAUGAAGGAAUAAUCAUAAUUACUGUACACUGACGAGCUGUCAGCACCUCCCUCUCUUUUUCCACUUUACAGCACGAUAAUCAGCCCGUCCCGUCCCAGUCUCCUCCCCCUCACCCACCAACUGGAUCUGUUCACUGCACUCAUCGGUCUGAAGCUGAAUUUUCACUCUUGCUUUAAAUAGAUGCACCAUUUUUAUUCUGUGAACGAGAUUUGCUCUAAAUCAAACAUGUUCCAUAUAAAAUUUGAUUUGUUAUCCAUGAUAUAUGUUUUAAACGUUGAAACAACACCCUUUUUAAAAGGAUGUUAAAAAUGUUAGGUAACUGUCAUUUUUAACUGUUUGUGUAACUGUCUGUUGAGCUUUUUUAUUUAUUUUAUUUUCUCAUUAUUGCAAUGACUUUAUUACUGCUUUACUUCACCUGUCAGACCACUAGUUUAACUAUUCACAGCUAAAACUGAGACUUAGUUCAGUCUCAAGCUGAGCUAAAGGCACAUGUAGCCAUGUGGAUCAGCCAGACAUCUUUCUGUACUAGUUUUCACUGCUCACUGCUCUUUGGCCUUAUUGGUAAUUAUUGGUAAUUUAUAGGACUUAUACUUUAUUAGUUACAGAGUGAUCUGUGUUUCUGUGUUUUUUCUAGAUAUUUUGAUGAAAGCGUGAAUGGGCUGUUUUUAAGUGUGUAAAUGCUGCAGUAGAGAGUGCAAUAACACCCUCUGUUUCAGCAAUGAUUUACUGCUGACAAGGGCUUUGGAAAUUGAUUUUUUUAAUUAAUUUCCAAAUCUCAGUUUAUUUUCAUGACUACUCACUAGCUUGUUUUAAAUUUUUUUUACAAUAUACUAUUUUGCCCUCUCAAGGACAGACUGUGAGUUUGCAGUGAUGUCACAGCCAUACAUAAGUGGGACCCCAAGAGGAGGACAUUUGGACUGUGCAGUGUGCAAGGAAAAUAUUAUUUACCAGGAAAAUUCAUUUUUAUUUUGCUAUCCAAGCCAAAGUUUUAGAUUGUAAAAGGCAGAUAAUUGUUGGGAUUCUUUUUUAUCCACAUCCAUCAAAAAUAUCAGUGAUUUUAAAACAUGUUUAUGAAUUUUAUGUCCCGUGGAAGAUAAAAAAUGCUGCAUUGA